rnacentral:tRNA from 5 species
UGCGGGUUAGUGUAAUAGUAACAUUUUUGACUCAUGAUCAAACGUAAGAGGUGCGAAUCCUUUACCCGCGU